GCGGGGGUACCCAAGCGGUCAAAGGGGCUAGGCUUAGGACCUAGUGGCUUAGUGCCUACCUGGGUUCGAAUCCCAGCCCCCGCA
rnacentral:tRNA from 1 species